CGUACCUGCCCNAUGAUUGUUAAUGGCCGCGGUANUUUGACCGUGCGAAGGUAGCAUAAUCAUUUGCCUUAUAAUUGAAGGCUGGAAUGAAUGGUUUGACAAGAGUUUAGCUGUCUCUAAUGGAUUUUUAAGAAUUUUAUGUUUAUGUGAAGAANCAUAAAUUUUAUUAAUAGACAAGAAGACCCUGUUGAGCUUAAAUUUUAUUAAAUAUNUAUGUAAAAUGUGAAUUUAUGAAUGUUUUUGUUGGGGCGACUAAGGAACAUUUAAAGCUUCCUUAAUUGUAAAAAUACUGUUGAGUGUUGAUCCACUAAAGUGAUUGGUAGAGAAAGUUACCACAGGGAUAACAGCAUUAUUUUGUUUGAGAGUUCUUAUUGAAAACAGAGUUUGUGACCUCGAUGUUGGAUCAAAAUAUCCUAAAGGGGCAGAAUUUUUUAAUGGUUAGUCUGUUCGACUAUUAAAAUUUUA
rnacentral:rRNA from 1 species